rnacentral:rRNA from 2 species
GAGUUUGAUCCUGGCUCAGAACGAACGCUGGCGGCGUGCUUAACACAUGCAAGUCGAACGUGAUUGAGAGCUUGCUCUCAUGAAAGUGGCGCACGGGUGAGUAACACGUGGAUAAUCUGCCUGACGAUCUGGGAUAACACUUCGAAAGGGGUGCUAAUACCUGAUAAGCCCACGGUCUCUUCGGAGAGCGCGGGAAAAGGGGGCCUCUGUAUAUGCUCCUGUCGCUAGAUGAGUCCGCGGCCCAUUAGCUAGUUGGUAGGGUAAUGGCCCACCAAGGCGACGAUGGUUAGCUGGUCUGAGAGGAUGAUCAGCCACACUGGAACUGAGACACGGUCCAGACUCCUACGGGAGGCAGCAGUGGGGAAUUUUGCGCAAUGGGGGAAACCCUGACGCAGCAACGCCGCGUGAGUGAUGAAGGCUUUCGGGUCGUAAAGCUCUGUCAGAGGGGAAGAAAUGAGACUGGCUAAUAUCCAGUUUUCUUGACGGUACCCUCAAAGGAAGCACCGGCUAACUCCGUGCCAGCAGCCGCGGUAAUACC